rnacentral:tRNA from 1 species
GCCGCGGUAGCUCAGUUGGUAGAGCGCAUCCAUGGUAAGGAUGAGGUCAUCGGUUCAAUCCCGAUUGACGGCUCCA